UCAGUGUCAGUAUCAGUCCAGGUGGUCGCCUUCGCCACUGGUGUUCCUUCCUAUAUCUACGCAUUUCACCGCUACACAGGAAAUUCCACCACCCUCUACCAUACUCUAGUCAGUCAGUUUUGAAUGCAGUUCCCAGGUUGAGCCCGGGGAUUUCACAUCCAACUUAACUAACCACCUACGCGCGCUUUACGCCCAGUAAUUCCGAUUAACGCUUGCACCCUCUGUAUUACCGCGGCUGCUGGCACAGAGUUAGCCGGUGCUUAUUCUGUCGGUAACGUCAAAAUUGCAGAGUAUUAAUCUACAACCCUUCCUCCCAACUUAAAGUGCUUUACAAUCCGAAGACCUUCUUCACACACGCGGCAUGGCUGGAUCAGGCUUUCGCCCAUUGUCCAAUAUUCCCCACUGCUGCCUCCCGUAGGAGUCUGGACCGUGUCUCAGUUCCAGUGUGACUGAUCAUCCUCUCAGACCAGUUACGGAUCGUCGCCUUGGUGAGCCAUUACCCCACCAACUAGCUAAUCCGACCUAGGCUCAUCUGAUAGCGCAAGGCCCGAAGGUCCCCUGCUUUCUCCCGUAGGACGUAUGCGGUAUUAGCGUCCGUUUCCGAACGUUAUCCCCCACUACCAGGCAGAUUCCUAGGCAUUACUCACCCGUCCGCCGCUCUCAAGAGAAGCAAGCUUCUCUCUACCGCUCGACUUGCAUGUGUUAGGCCUGCCGCCAGCGUUCAAU
rnacentral:rRNA from 1 species